rnacentral:rRNA from 1 species
GACAGAGGGGGCAAGCGUUGCUCGGAAUCACUGGGCGUAAAGGGCGCGUAGGCGGGAUGGCAAGUCGGUCGUGAAAUCUCUCGGCUCAACCGAGAAACGUCGGCCGAUACUGCCGUUCUUGAGGGAUGCAGAGGAGACUGGAAUUCCCGGUGUAGCGGUGAAAUGUGUAGAGAUCGGGAGGAACACCGGUGGCGAAGGCGGUUCUCUGGGCAUUUCCUGACGCUGAGGAGCGAAAGCGUGGGGAGCGAACAGG